CCUGCUUCUUCGUGCAGCACCUCCCGGCCAGCAAUGCUGACAAGGUCCCCAACAUCUCCGCGGAGCUACUGUGAGUCGCCGGAACCCUAACUCGCCGCCGAUUAUAACCCCCCCACCCCUUCUCCUCACCACCCCGCUUCCUCCCGCCGGUCGCAGCGAGACCAUCAAGGAGUACGAGCAGGAGGCAGCGAAGCUGGCGGAGAGGCUGCUGGACCUCAUCUGCGAGAACCUCGCCCUGGAGGAGGGCUACAUCAAGAAGGCCUUCUCCGGCGCCAGCGGGCCAUUCAUGGGCACCAAGUUCGCCAAGUACCCGUCCUGCCCCAAGCCGGACCUGAUCACCGGCCUCCGCACCCACACCGACGCCGGCGGCAUCAUCCUCGUCCUCCAGGACGACGUCCCCGGCCUGCAGUUCCUCAAAGGCGGCGACUGGGUCGACGUCGUCCCCGUUCCAGGCGGCAUCUUCAUCAACACCGGCGACCAGCUCGAGGUACGCACCCUCCUUCCUCCUCCUCUGUUCUUCACCCUUCCUUCUGCCUCCUCCUCUUGGAGGGGGGGCUCGCCGGAGCUGACAGGAAGCCCCUCCGCC
rnacentral:lncRNA from 1 species